rnacentral:rRNA from 1 species
AGAGUUUGAUCCUGGCUCAGAAUGAACGCUGGCGGCGUGCUUAACACAUGCAAGUCGAACGAUGAAGAGCAGCUUGCUGCUUGGAUUAGUGGCGCACGGGUGAGUAAUAUAUAGAUAACGUACCUCCGAGACCGGGAUAGCCAUUGGAAACGAUGAUUAAUACUGGAUACUCCUUCUAACUCUAAUGUUAGUCGGGAAAGUUUUUUCGCUCGGAGAUCGGUCUAUAUCCYAUCAGYUAGUUGGUGAGGUAAUGGCUCACCAAGGCAAUGACAGGUAGCGGGUUUGAGAGGAUGAUCCGCCACACUGGUACUGAGACACGGACCAGACUCCUACGGGAGGCARCAGUGAGGAAUAUUGCACAAUGGGGGAAACCCUGAUGCAGCAACGCCGCGUGGAGGAUGACGCAUUUCGGUGUGUAAACUCCUUUUAUAUGUCAAGAAAAUGACGGUAGCAUAUGAAUAAGCACCGGCUAACUCCGUGCCAGCAGCCGCGGUAAUACGGAGGGUGCAAGCGUUAUUCGGAAUCACUGGGCGUAAAGGACGCGUAGGCGGGUUGCCAAGUCAGGUGUGAAAUCCUACAGCUUAACUGUAGAACUGCACUUGAAACUGGUUACCUAGAGUAUG